AUGCUCGCUGCCAUGUUCUCGUCGCACUCGGCGAGCCGCAUCAACAACAUCCGCACCUCCCUCAUCAACGCGCAGAAGGGUAAUCUCUCGGUUGCCUCUUACUUUGCUGCCAUGCGAGGUUUUGCAGAUGAACUAGCCGCGGCGGGCAAGGCCAUCCAGGAUGACGAACUAGUCUCCUACAUCAUCCACGGGCUAGACGCCGAUUACCAGCCUCUGGUGUCUGCUCUCGACGCUCGUGUGACCCCCGUCACACUCGACGAACUCUACGCCAUGCUCUCCAACUUCGACCAGCGCGUGGCCCAUUACCACGGGUCCGGCGGCGGCGGUUUCAAAUCUUCCGCCAACAUGGCGUCGCGUGGGCGGGGUGGCGGCUCCCGUUCACGUGGCCCUCCUCGCAACAAAGGACGGUUUGGUGGUGGCGGCGGCAGUGACCGCGGCUCUUCUCCUCAGCGCGCGGGCGGCAGAGGCCGCGGCCGUCGCGGUCGUGGCAACGGCAACAGAACGCGCCCCGACACUCCCCGAUGCCAAAUCUGCGGGAAACCUGGCCACACAGCAAAGGAUUGCUGGUACAGGUAUGAUGAGGAUGAUGAUGAUUCCCAGGACGAUGACAAGGUUGCUGCGGCGGCUGAUGGGUCCUACGGCGUCGACACAAAUUGGUACGUCGACAGUGGGGCCACGAACCACAUCACCAAUGAACUCGAGAAGGUGACCAUGCACGAAAAAUACCGCGGCAAGGAUCAAAUCCACACUGCUAGGGGAUAA
rnacentral:rRNA from 1 species